GCUUCCGCGGCCCGCUUGUCGGCUAGGGUGCAGCGCCCCGAGGCGCCAGCACGGGGGGCGCGGAGGAGAAGGGGGCGAGGUCCUGCUGUCGCCAGGAAGCCCUUUUGUGGGCAUCUUUGAAUUCCGUCUGUUCUCACUCCUUUCAGGUCCAGCUGAGGGCGGCGAGCGGCUGCCAUCUCCCUGGGUGACCAGCUCUGAAUGUCCACAGUCUCCCGGCCUGGUAACCGCCCAGCCUGCCCACCCACGGUCCUUCCUGACCCUGGUGAGGGCUCAGGCCCCCAGAGUGCCGCCGCCGUGCGCAGGGCGCAGGCAGGGAUGGGAGCGGCUCCGGGGCGGGCAGGACCUGCCAGGCACCCCCUCCUCCCCCUGCGGAGGCUCCCCUCCAUCCCGCGCACCCCACGAGGAAGGCUGCACUGCCAUCCCCAGCCGGUGGUCAGGGAGGCCCUGGCGGGCUGGGGCAGGGGCGCCAGGGAGCAUGGGCCCCAGGCGUCUUGCUCGUCUUGGGCCCCGGGACGCCCUAUGACACCUGCACGUGGUCGGCGUCCAGCAGGGCGUUAGCUGGGGCGGACAGCUCCGUGGGAGUCCCGGGGGGUGUGCCGUCCCCGUGGCCGCUGGGCGUGUGCCCCUCACAGCGCGUGCCGGCCACGUCCCGCAGGUCACCUGUCCGGGAGAGUCGCCUCCAGCCCCUGUGGGUUCCCAGACCGGAGGGGGAGCCACUGUCCUGGCCGCACAUACCCGCAAGCCAGGGCUGGGAGGCGGGAUGGGGGACGGGCCUUCGGGGCCCCGCUCGUGUCCCAGGGCCCGGGUGUGAGUCAGCACCCACGGGAGUCGUUCAGGAGGGAGACGCGGCACAGCCACCACGGGCCAUUUCCAGCACCUUCCGAGGAAAAGCCUUCUCGGGUCCUCACCGCGGGCAACGAGGCCCCGCCCCCCGUCACCCAGACACACCCAUGGAUGAGGUCUUGGGUCUGGUCCUUGUCGUUUUAAAUCUGAGCGAAGCCGACCUACCCUCACCCCGCCCGACCCCAGAAGGACCGAAGAGACGCUCUUCCAGGCGGGCUCGAGACCCGCGUCCAGGCCGCCUUCCGUGAGGAGCCAGCCGGGGCGUGAACACCUGCAGGGCCACGGGACACACACGAGCCGACGUGCGUGGAACGGGCGCCCAGGCGCCCAACGCUUACUCCUGGCUCAGGCGGAUCCGAUCCCAGGGAGCUGAGUUCAGGCAGCGGCGCCCUGGAGUUCCCACGCCCUGGGGCCCCCUCGCUGUCGCUCGCCCGCUCUGAGAACGGAGUCCUCCACGACCAUGCGGCACCAGGGCCUGGGCGGGGGCGGGCCUGGGCUCUGAGGAGCCUGUUCCAGGAGCGGCCAGUGUGGCCGGCGCACUCACCACGUCCGCGGGGGAACACGGCCGAGGGUGCCCCUGCCAGGGCCCGUGUCGGGACCUCCAGACGCCCGCAAUCCCAGCCCGGCAGAUGAUGCGCCUGCCACGCUCUGCUCAGCCUUUCUCCAGUGCGUCGCCCAGGGAGGGACGGCGGAUGACCGCCCCGCAGCCGGGCCUCGGCCACCCCGGGGUCUGUGCCCUCACCGGUGCCUCCGGCCACGGCCCUGGUGCUUCCGUCCCUGCGUCUCCCGAGGCAGCAGGAGGGCGGCCCGGUGACAGCUGCCCUGCUCGGUCAGUGACGCCCUCACUCGAGGACAGCGCUUCUAGGUCCAGAUUCACAGAUAACACGGGAGGAAAUCCCCCAGCCACAGGAAGGAGCAGCGUGGUGACAGCUUCUGCGUGUCCUCCCCAGGCUGUGGGGCUGCCGUGACCCUGGGGGCCCCAGUCGUGCCUGGACCAGGACGUGCCCCGAGCAGCGCAGCCGGGCCCUUCGGGACGGAGACGGCCUUCGUCCCUGCCACUGUGCUCAGGGGCCACAGGCGCCCCAGGCAGGACGUGGAGCCUCAUGACCCCCAUGGUCACCGCAGGUGCCCGAGCCAGCAAACAGCCAGGGGAGCCGACCAGAGGGGCCAGGGUGCCCCUGCACCCCGGGUGUCAGGUGUUCUCCUCCCCGCCUGCAGGGGGCCCGGGCCCCUCCCUCCCCGCGGGGCCAUGAGACAGUCACACGUCCGCCUCCCCCAAGCCCUGGCCACCGGUCCUUGCAGGGGCUCAGUGACCAGUGGUUGCAGGUUUCAGGUCUCCGGGCCGCCAGGGCUGAGACCGGGAACAUUCUGGGUGCAGCUCGGGGAAUGGGGUGAGCAGGUUCCCCUGGGCUGGACAGAGGAGGCCUGGGCCUUGGCCCUGCCACUGGCCCCACGGUCAGGCCUGCAGGGUGGAGACGGGGCCUUGUUCCCCUACAACACCCACAAGGCCACAGGCACCUCAACCACCUGCGCCCCAACAAAUACAUAAAUCUUAGAAACAUAAAAUACUCAUUAUUUUGAGUGUUCGCUGUUAAGAAAAAUUAAACUCGUUCCCACUUGCUCA